AACCUACCCCAAAAUACUGUCAACCUGUUGUGGUGACAUCAAGUGAUGAUGCUGUGGAAGAUAAUGCUACUAUGGUUUGUAACUAUACAUCAGAUACAAUGUCAUCUAAGAGAAGUGGUAGACAAGGAGACUUGAAACAUUAUGAAGAAAUACCAGGAGUAUCAGAUCAAAAUAUUUAUAAAAACAAUGAUACAUCUACAUCAAAAGAUUCCAGUGAAGAGACACCAGUGAAACAUGUUUAAUUAUGUUAUUGAAAUAACAUAACUAUUAUAAUAUAUUACAAUAUAUUAUAAUAUAUGAUAAUAUAUGCAAUUUAAGAUAGUACUUCUUCAAUACAUAUGCAAUAUCAACAUUUACAGUCAUUACAUUCUGUACAACAGUGUAUAUAUGUAAAGAUAGAAGUGCUAAUAAAUAAGUAAUAGUUUUAAGUAAAGAUGAAGUUAUUUAAAGCUAUAGUUUUCUUUGUGUUGAUGUAAUUCUGUUUAUUUUUUGUGUAUAUUCAAACAAAUUAUUUCUACACAUAGUGCUUGUUUUGAAUGCUAAAUAUCUAUCCAUUUUGUAAGCCAAAUAAUAUUUAAUUCUAAAU